AGACACUGUCUGGGUACAAGUUAAACUGGAUCUCUCUGAGGUUAAUGUUUUCCAGAUUUUACACCUUAUGUUUCAGUUCACUAGAUGUUCAGAUGCACCAAAGAACCAAACAAAGAAGAGACGAGAAGGGAUUAAAGAAAAAAUAUAUCAUGCAAGAUUUGUAAGUAUAUUUCCAGGGUCUAUUUAAGGGGCCUGUUCACUAAAUAGUGAGUCGUGGUUAGUUAAGAAGACUUGUAAAGUGUAGAUCCAAAUAGUUGAUUAAAACAACUUUUUUUGACUCAGCUCCUUUGAAGUUUCUUCCGAGUUUGGUUAAUUUAGCCUACGGUUUGAAAGUUGGAUAUAAAAUCACCACUGCUCAUGUGAUAACUGAUGUAUGCUAUAUCUUACAACUAACCAGUUUGCAUUUCCUUUUAGGCCUUACUCCUUUCCUGGCUGUUCCAGCAGUUAUUAAAGGGACACUAUAGUCACCAAAACAACUUAAAGGGACACUAUAUUCACUAGAACAACUACAGCUUAUUGAAUUUGUUCUGGUGAGUAGAAUCAUUACCUUCAUGCCUUUUGCUGUAAACACUGUCUUUUCAGAGAAAAUGCAGUGUUUACAUUACAGCCUAGUGAAAACUUCACUGGCCACUCCUCAGAUAGCUGCUAGAGAUCCUUCCUGGGUUAUGGCUGCCUAAAAUGCAUCCAAACAUUCAGUGUCUCCUCCCUCUGCAUGCAGACACUGAACUUUCCUCAUAGAGAUUCAUUGAUUCAAUUCAUCUCUAUGAGGAGAUGCUGAUUGGCCAGGGCUAUGUUUGAAUUGUGCUGGCUCUUCCCCUGAUCUGCCUCUUUGUCAGUCUCAGGCAAUCCUAAGGAGAAGCAUUGUGAUUGGAUCAGGCUACCACUUCUGCUGAUGUCAGCAGGCAGUGGGCAGGUCUAAAGGAAACAGGCAUAAAGCAUGCAGUUGCAGACUUGAAUACAAGUAAGAUUUACUAUAUUUAGGGAGGCAAGAGGGGACCAGGGGGCUAGAUGGCGGUUGUAACCCUAUAGGGUCAGGAAUACAUGUUUGUGUUCCUGACCCUAUAGUGCUUCUUUAAGCUUAAUGAAGCAGUUAUGAUGUAUAUAUUAUUCCCUCUGAAGUUUCAUUCCUCAAUUCUCUGCCAUUUAGGAGCUAAAUCACUGGUUUCUGUUUAUGCAGCCCUAGCCAUUCAUCCCCUGCUGUGACUGACACAGCCUGUAUAAAAACAAAAUAGUUUCAAUUUCAAUCAGAUGUUACUUACUUAAAAAAAUUUUUUUUAAUUAAAUUCUUUAUUUUUGCGAUGACAACAUUCAAUGAUAGGUUACACUGAGGUUGGAAGGUACUUAUAGGUAAAAUAUAUAUAGCGUACAAUGCAGUAUUACAGGCAUCAAAUUGUAGAAUAACAUUCGUUACAGUAUUCCAGACAAUGUAUUCCUUUGUGAGAAAAGCAAGGACAAGCUGUCAAGGUAUUUUGUUUAAAACAUAGGAAAAAUAAAGGUAUAACAGAAAGGUAGAAAAAGAUUUAGGAAAAAUCACAAUAGUAUGGUCAUUGGGAUGUAUGCACUUUGCUAUGUGAGUAAUGUAGGUGGCAGCCGAAGUUCAUUUGUACCACCGUUCCUGAUGCCACAUUUUCUAUUCAUUUGCAUUUUCUUUUCUUCUUUUGGUUUGUUUUUAGUGGUUUCUAAUGAAACAUUAAGAGUCUCGCUUAUAAGGAUGAACAUGGCAGUGUAGUGCAGUCAAGUCAGUGCCAAAUGUAUUUGUGUGUAGGUUUUAAGUGGUGAGGGACAUUUGUAAUCACUUGGAGCCGAUGUCAGUAGUCAUACAUGGCUGAAAUGUGGCAAAGCCCAAGAGUCAAUGAGGUGCGGAGUAGCAGUAUAAUGAGCUCACCAUUCUGUGAGGUGCAGGAUGCAAUGCAGUCUUGUUGGCCUUUAAAAUUUUUUAUCUCCUGCUCUGUAAAUUGAACUUUAAGGCUCCUGCAGGGUCUAGCAAGGUAUUAACAGAGCAGGAGAAAAUACAUUUUAAAUUAAACACAAUUUGCAGUAAAGGAAGUGUAAACAUUAGAUGACUCUUUACAGGAAGCCUGUGUAACUCACAUGCAGGGAGGUGUGCCUAUGGCAGCAUAAACAAAGUGAUAUAAAUCCUAAAUGCCAGAGAAUUGAGCAGUGAGAACGCAGAGGCAUUAUCUAGACAGCAAAAAUCUGCUUCAUUAAAAGACCACUAUAGUGCCAGGAAAACAAACUAGUUUUCCUGGCACUAUGUAGUCCUUAGGUCCCCCCCACCCUCAUGGCCCCCCUCCAGCUGGGCUGAAGGGGUAAAAACCCCUCCAAGAGCGUCCUCACAUCUAUUCAUAUAGAAUUCUUAGUAUUCCCCCCACAAGAUUCUACUAACUAAAUCACCAUAGUGCUGAAAAAAAACAGUGAGGUGAUCAAUAAAGAAAAAUAGUAAGCCGACGCGCGAUUCAGCGCUUCUAGAGCACCUUCAUCCGGGGCAUUCAAGCCAGCCCCUCACCUAGGUCUCUUUUUAUCUGUCAGUGUAAACCAGUCACAUGGUGACUCCAGCCAAUAGCCACCCUGGAGGGCAUGUAAAUACUUAGACAAUUAACUGAUACCUUCUCUCCGAUUUUGCCCCUAGCAUACCACCCAUGUGUGGAGAGUCACUCCCUCCUCCACAGCUCAUCAACGCAAUGAGGAGGAUGGGAGGAGUCACACUAGGCGGAAUCAUGUUCAAAGUGUGUGGUCUCCUAACGUAUGAUUACCUAAUAACCCACAUCAAAGGGGUUUAAGAGGGGGUGAACACUUUAAAACACAAGUGUUGAACACCCAUGCUUAUUACCAUGUCCCAUAUUCAAUGAUAUGGUGGGUUAUUUACAUCAAUGUAUGGCAUUCCAGUAUACAGCAGCCAAUAUUACUUUGAAGUUGGUAACCACACAGUAAAGAUUAUAUGGUCACCUGUUCAUUAAUUUAGAUAAAAAAUUAUGCACUAAAGAAAACAUAACAUAGAAAGUGUAAUAAAUGAUUUUUUUUUUAGCACUAUGGUGAUUUAGUUAGUAAAAUCUUAUGGGGGGAAUACUAAGAAUUCUAUAUGAAUAGAUGUGAGGACGCUCUUGGAGGGAGUUUUAUGGCUGGACUUGGUGAAUAACUGGGGUAUUCUCUGGGAGUCUUAGGGUAGAGAAUGACUGGUUAUUUGUUUGCAUCAAGCCUUCUUUUUGCUUUAAAGGACCAUAUAGUGCCAGGAAAACAUACUCAUUUUCCUGGCACUAUAUUGGCCUGAGGGUGCCCACACCCUCAGGGACCCCCUCCCGCCAGGCUCUGGGGAAAGGAAAGGGUUAAAUCAUACCUUUUUUACAGCGCCAGGCGGGGAGCUCUCCUCCUCCUCCGAUCCUCCUCUUCGGCUGAAUGCGCAUGCGCGGCAGGAGCUGCGCGCGCAUUCAGCCAGUCUCAUAGGAAAGCAUUCAUAAUGCUUUCAUAUGGACGCUGGCGUCUUCUCACUGUGAUUUUCACAGUGAGAAGCAAACAAACGCCUCUAGCGGCUGUCAAUGAGACAGCCACUAGAGGCUUUAGAGGCUGGAUUAACCCUAAUAUAAACAUAGCAGUUUCUAGGAAACUAUGUUUAUAAAAAAAAAGGGUUAAUCCUAGAGGGACCUGGCACCCAGACCACUUCAUUAAGCUGAAGUGGUCUGGGUGCCUAGAGUGGUCCUUUAAUUCUUUCAGUUAGCAACCUUGAAGUCGAAUCUAACCUAGAUAAUCAUAUGAAGGCUGAUGCAUAUUUCCUUUUUAGGUGCAACAAUUAGUUUUUUCUAUGCAAACUGUUUAUUGUUGCUUGGAUGUACUGAUACAGAAGGAUAUUUUUUUUUCUUUUAUGUACAAACAGUAUACGGAUGUUAGUUUAGUAGUUAUAUAGGGUUUCCUAUUCCCUCCUAUUUUCCACUAUCAAGGUUUUGUAAUUGAUAUGUAUAUCUAAUACUAGGUUUUUCCUAGGUAUUUUCCCUGACUCCCACUCCCAUCUCCCUCAGCGACUCCCAGACAGUCCAUUAUAGAUUCUCCCCUAUAAUUUUCCUCUCUGCAGAGCCUCUUAGUUUGGCUUUUUUUAAUGGGUUGAUGCUGUACACGUAUGUCUCUAUAUAUUUCAAUAAAAGUGUAUAUCAAUCAUUUAAUUUUACAAGGGAUUCUUUCUGUGUCAGCUGGACUUUAAGCCCAUUGGAUAUUUAUGUGUUCACGUGUAUAAGUAUACAAGGCAUUAUGGAAAAGUGAAGAUCCUUAAAAACAGCUUAAUAUCUGGUUCUAUCAUCAGUUCUUUGAUGUUUUUACGUUAAGCAUGUUUCAUAUGACAUGGCACUAAGCACUUCAACAGUAUGUACUGGGUGAGUUACCUGUACAGUACAAGAAGAAAAAACCCCAAAACAUGUGAGUGUGUAGAAUGGAUCCCACUAUGAGCUAGUGAGGGGACAUGCAUGGGCUUCCUCCUAACCUCUCAUCCAUGGAGGAGCAUGAGAUGGAGUUGUUAAAUUACUUUUUUUGUUACAUUAAUUGAUCAUUGCCAUCUGAAUCACCCAUACCCUUAUUAUCCGCUCAUGGAAAUAAACAUCAUUUAAAAGAAAGAAAUGGAAAAAAAAAUCUUAAAUCUCCACUAAAUUAAAUGUGCAUCUGCAUAGACUGCUUUAAUUGGCAAAAUGAAACCAUAAUAGACAAUUUAGUGGCUUUACCCUGUUUAAUUUCUGUUCCAACUAAUCACAUUGCUCAUUUCCCAUAGAUUCCAAGGGGUCUAUGGAGGUCUUCUACAGUACUGGAAUAGUGGCUUGCAUUUUUGGACACCACAUGAUUAAUAGAGUGUCCUGAAAACCACUCGACAGGUUUGUGUUUUCCCCCACAGUAUGUAUUUACUAAAGUUAAAUUCAAAAUGAAUUGAAAGGGAAUUUUAAAUGUACGGUCAAAACUGUGAAAUUAUCAACGUCAACUCUGCUUUCAGUACUGCUACACUGGCCUUAAAUUUGAAAUGACUGAAUUCUCAUUUUUUACAGUCAUUUACUGAAGUGAGAAUUGUUGUUAAAGUGAAUUUUACGUUUAAGUUGAUCAACUAGAAACAGUUUACAAAUGAAUCUGGCUUCCAGAUGAGCUAAUUUGGUCUGAAAUUGAAAAUGAACUUUAAAUUCAAUUUGAAUUACUGACAAUUCACACUAUAGUAAAUAACUCUGAGUGUGAGUGUGAGUGAAGUAAAAGCAGCCAUUUGGCUACCAACUGACUAUAGCAGUGGUUCCCAAACCAGUCCUCACCCUUACCUUCAGUCCUCGAUUUUGUGUUGGCUCAGUUGCGUCCAAGGUGUUUUCUUUGGUUUUUCUAAAAACACCUUCAACACCACUGGGUAAUCCCUAAAUCCUGGACUGGUAGUAGGGUGAGAGGACUGGCUUGGGGACCACUGGGUUAUAGCAUUGGAUCCAGGCAAUCCCUGCUAUUUUUUUUUUUAUCCUUGAAUCAAUAUAAACUGAGUUGUUUUUUUUCCAAUCCGGUUUACUGUUGAGAUAGUUGAUUAUAUUGCUAAUUCACAACAACACAGUUAAUGAAGUCCUGUGCAUGCCUGUAUUAACCCUUUGAGUGCCACAGUCAUAAUCAAUGUUUUUAUAAGUAUAGAGUUACUGCAUAAUUUGGUGUUUCGUGGUCGAGUAUACUUAUCUUUACGAGGUCUGAUAAUGAUGUUGAAGUUUACGAUAAAAAAAUAAAUAAAAAUCUUCCAAAGUGGACAUGGAACACAGCUCUUUAUCAUAAUCAGUAAUUUAUUUAUACAGUGGCUUACGUGCCUGGAAAGCUAACUAUCAUAAAUAGCUUAUCAUAUUGUUUAGAAAUAAAGAAAUAAUCAAUGCAUACACUAUUAAUGUUGUACUAGAAAGAACACCACAAUCCUAUUUUAUCGAUCUGCAGAAAAUAUUGAUAUGUCUUAUUUUGUCUUUGUUUAGAAAUUUUGCUCCAUUCAAUCAUUUACAGAUGCAACACAAAUUGGCACAUAAUCCAUUAUACAGUUUUGUCUUAUAAAAUGGUUUAUAAAGCAAGCUUGUGAGUUCUGUCCUCUCGUGUCUGUCUCUAUACAUUCUGCUUUUGGCAGAGUUUGUAAUGCCUCUCACGUCCUUAAAUAUAAAACUGUAAUUUCUCCUUUCCUACCUUUUGUCUCAUAGUCACAAUUUGCAGGGUUUUAGAUAAGAAACAUUUGUGGGGUCCUACCCUUGUUAACACAAACAUAAAAAAAUAACCGCACAAACAAACAUAGUUAGCCAUUCAUUUAACCAGACAUACAUAUUGACUUGAGAAAACAAGUAGCUGGUUGCACUCACCUAAACAUGCAGAAAUAGGGUGCUGCUGGGAGCCAAUAAGUACAAUAAAAAUGAAAAUCCAGCGCACUCCCAUAUUUACUAAACAGCAACUUUGGUGCUGACAGAUUUUGUUAGCCUAAUCUAGGCAAAAAAAUAAUGGGGGUUUAGUUACAUUGUAUGAUCAUACAUUGCAUAAGACAUUAGGCUUAUGCAAGGUAUGAUCAUAUAAUUUAACUAAAGCCCCAUUAUCUUUUGCCCAGAUUAGGUGUUUUUAAAAAAAAAAAAAAAAACCUAACAAAAUCUGUCAGUACCAAAGUUGCUGUUUAGAAGAUAAGGGAGUGCACUUGAUUUUCAUUUUUAUUAUACAUAUUGAGUUGUCUAUCCACAUACAUGUAAUUACUCAAAUGCACAUAUGUGCAUACAUAACCUACCCCUACCUAAUGCAAGACAUUCUCUUCAGACACACAAGGAUGUAUACACAAACAUUAUCUAACAUGCGUACAUAAACAUCCGUUAAACUGCAUACAUAGACAUUAUUUGUAUGUACACACAGAAACUAACAAUCAGACACAGACACAAACUAACACGCAUCCUUAGACACAUACAGAAAUUAACACACAUCAAUAGACCUACAAUAAAAUACAUUCACUGACAGUCACACUGCCAAAAAAAUACAUUAUCACACAAUUAUAAUCUAUCUCCUUCUCUUUCUGCUUACUUUCUGCCUGAGGGAGGGAUAGGAGAGGCUUCAAACUGCUGUCCCAGGUGUCCAUUGUAGGGGGAGCAGGAGAGUUGUGCACUGACCAGCAUAGCCUUUCUUCUUCUUUUAUUAUUUAUAUAGCACCAGCAAAUUCCGUAGCGCUGUACAAUUCUUGUUCCUCUUUUGUUAAUAGCACAGGUUACAAGGGCCGGUAUAUCACAUCAAAUCCCUUGCACCAACUUCCACUAACACUUCUACUAACAUAUGUAGUAGAUUUGAAAUAAUUUGCCUUGUCUGAAUCGAUUCGUCCAAAAAAACAAUUUCUUAUAGGCAAUUUGGGUCUCCUCCAUGUGGGAUUUUGUUUUGGAUUCAUUUUGUCCAUGUGAUUGUUUUGGGAAAACCGAUUUAAAUAAAACCAAUAUGUCACAAACAUGCACCUAUUAGUUUACUGCAAAAUACAGGGUUGGGUCAAAUUUCAUGGUAUUUCAUGGCAUUUGACACGUAAAAUUUUUGUUGCAGGUACAUAUUAUAACGGGGUCUUGGGAGAUUCAUCAUGGGUAAUUUCAUGAAGGAACAAUGAUCAAAAAUAAUGGAAUUUUUUUUUCAAAAUUGAGACAACUGUUCAGGAAGUGGUUAAUUGAAAGAAACUCCCAGAUUAUUGACAGAUUAACAUUCCCCGAUCUUUCAGCUCACAAUUGCUUCAUGUGGGGAUAUCUGUAGGUGUGUGUGUACAUGAACAAACUGCGUACACUUGAGAAACUCAGGGAAAUUAUCGAGGCAGAAAUUUAAGCGCUAGAGCCUCAAACAUCAACUAAUGUUAGGAAAAAUGCAAUCGAAGAGCAAAUUAAAAAGAUGUCCUCUUCUGUACCUAGUCAAACAACUCUCCAUACGUUAAGCAUUCAUUGUAUGUAAUAUCAUUGAACUUGGUUCAUUAAUAAAAAAGUUAUUGACUCCUCCAACCACAUUCUGAAUUUGUGCCACCCUGUAUAUACAGAAUAUAAAUUAUGUAUCAGUACACUGUGUGCGUUUUUGUGCCAUUUCGUUCAUAGAUCGAGUGAGAAUAAGAAAGAUAUAGAGGGGGGAAAAACAGGAGCAGUAAAAACAUUCCUUUAUUGAAAUAUUCUAUAUUUACUAAAUAUAUAAUCUAUAAAUAUACAUUUAUUUACUGUUGCUAUUUUUUCUCCUCUGUUGGUCGAUUCUCACUUGAUCUGUGAACAAAGUCAACAUUAAAGGACCACUAUAGGCACCCAGACCACUUCAGCUUAAUGAAGUGGUCUGGGUGCCAGGUCCAUCUAGGAUUAACCCUGCCUGCUGUAAACAAAGCAGUUUCAGAGAAACUAUGUUUAAAUAUGGGUUAAUCCAGCCUCUAGUGGCUGUCUCAUUGACAAAAAAAGUCACUUAUGGAAAAAAGAUGAUCAGUGGUUAGGACAGCCAGUAAAGGACCACUAUAGUGCCAGGAAAACAAACUCGUUUUCCUGGCACUAUAGAAUUAAUAGGUACCUCCCACCCUCAUGGACCCCCUCCCGCCGGGCUGAAGGGAGAGGAAGGGGUUAAAUCACUUACCUUUCUCCAGCGCCGGGCAUUCAGUCAAUGGUCAGCCAGUCCAUAGGAAAGCAUUCUCAAUGCUUUCCUAUAGGCGCUGGCGUCUUCUCACUGUGAAAAUCACAGUGAGAAGCGCUUUAGCUAAAGGCGCUUCUCACUGUGAUUUUCACAGUGAGAAGACGCCAUUGUCUAUAGGAAAGCAUUGAGAAUGCUUUCCUAUGGACUGGCUGACCAUUGACUGAAUGCCCGGCGCUGGAGAAAGGUAAGUGAUUUAACCCCUUCCUAUCCAUUCAGCCCGGCGGGAGGGGGUCCAUGAGGGUGGGAGGUACCUAUUAAUUCUAUAGUGCCAGGAAAACGAGUUUGUUUUCCUGGCACUAUAGUGGUCCUUUACUGGCUGUCCUAACCACUGAUCAUCUUUUUUCCAUAAGUGACCUUUUUUUGUGUGCCAACAAUGGAAAUCUGAAUCAUUAAACAAGCAAAACAGCUUGUUCAUUCCUUGUUUAAUUUGUUCCAUGAUUUGGUAUUAUGGUUAUUCAGAUUUAGGACACUUUUAAUGGAUAUCGAUUCAUUUGACGCCGAAUGCACACGUUGUAUAUGUGUUUAUGACUUUAGAGAACCAAUGACUGUGUUGGCUGUGAUUAACACACAAUUAACAACUCAAUGCAAGGUAUCCAGUAUGUCUUUGUGAAGGACACUCAAUCAUAACUCUCUACAUGAACUCCACUUGCCCCACCAAAAUGUGGCCUUGUUUUAAAUUAAAGUGUGCUUGACUCCUUUUAUUCUAGCAUGUGUACCUAAUUAUGCCUCUGUCUAUACCCCAUUCAGUGAGUCAUUGCUGAUGUUUGUAGGGAGCUCUGGAUAAGAGUUCUAUAUAUGAUCUCCUAAAUAAAAUAAGUAUUAUGUAAAUAUAUGAUAUACGUAGGAAAAAAAUCAACAAAUACAAAAUUAAAACGCGCACACACACAUAUAAGAAAAUAUAUAUAUAUAUAUUCUUCGACUAAAUACCAGAUACAUUUCUUCGAAGAUGCCUUACUAAUUCUUAUUUUUUUUCUCAGUUAUUAAAUGGUUACUGUGCGCACCUUGCCAACACAAGUGAUUUGAAGUGGUCAUGGUGCCUGGGGUCUCUAUGUUCAGCGUUUCACUCCACCUCUGGCUGCAUCAUUGGAGGGUCUUUAGCCAACCUGGAACAAGAGAUUUGGCUGGCUAAUGCUAAUUCUGUACAUAUUCCUAAGCACGGGAGUACAUUCAUUGUCUGAGAGUGGUUAUUUACACUUUCAACCAAUCAUUGCCCGGUGGGACGGACAUCUAGUUUCUGCAGCUUUGCAGAAUACGGUUUUCGUCACUAGUCACUGUAGGACAGUCAGCGCCCGGUGGUGAUCCAAGUAAGAGGGUUGUACUUAUCUAAACAUAGAGUUAUAGUACUAUACAAUAUAUAGUAUGCUAUUGAUUCCACGGCUGACAUAAUUGCUGAAUUUAACUUAAGAGCCUCCAUGUGUUUCCAAAGAAUUGCACAUACAGCUCUGCAAAAUUGUUACCAUUUUCAUAAUGUAUAGAUUGUGUGAAGUUGAAUGUUACAACGUAUCUGUUAUUAUCCAAAAAUUCUAUCACAAGCAUUCAUUAUUUGGGCUUCUUGGUGAAGCUGAGAUAUAUUUGCAGAUAAAAGAGUGGAAAAUGAAAGUGAUCUCAGAAAUGGUGAGGUAAUAAUUAUGGAGCAUUUUUAACCAAAAGCACAGAGGCCAUAAUAAGGCAUUAUAUAUGAAUACACAAUUGUUUAUUUGCCAAACGUUGAAUGACAGUGCACCUCACAACAGACAUAAAUUAAAGUUAAAAUAGUCACGCUGGGAAUAGUUUACAUCUUAGCAAAAAUGUAUCUUUUUACAAAUCUUCUAUAUCUUCUCAAAUUCUGCAAACCUUUAGUUAAGCAUUCCCUCACGUCUGGUAGACUUUGCUUUGGUGUAAUAACCCAGGACUACUUUCUAGCAAAGGUUAAAGACACUGUGGCAGUGAUGGCUGAUCAUGUUUAUCACCAGACUCACCCAAGGAAUUUGACCCCAACUUCUCUGUCUGGAAACCCCACCUCCCCAACUCAAUGGACAAUGGAAAUAUCAAACUGACUGUAAAAAAUCUGUAUUUAAUUUAUUUACCCAUCAAAUGCCAGAGAAAUGGCGAGCACGUUGCAAAGCAUAUCUGACAUGGAAGCAUUAUUAAACAUAUUGCAAAUUAUGUAUUCAUCAGUUUGCAGUAAACUACUUACUCUUUUGAGACACUCUAUUCCUGCUGUGAUAGAAUAAAUUACUCAAAAAUAGGAAAUUAUUUUAAUUCCAAGCACAGAACCAUCCAAUUUAAAAAAGAAGACUUGAAGAUGGAGGACAAGUACAAAAUGACAUGAAAUGGACCUGAAAUUCUGUGUUUGGGGGACACACAUACAGUAUUCUAAUUGGGAGACACGGUGGCAGCAGACACACAGUGCUGGAAUUAAGGAACACAGUUUGAGCAGACUAACAGUGCUGUUAUUGGAACUGGCAUUUUAACUAGAUGGCUUCCCUUAACAGCCUAACAUUUGUUUUUUU
rnacentral:lncRNA from 1 species